CCUACGGGGGGCAGCAGUGAGGAAUAUUUGUCAAUGGACGAGAGUCUGAACCAGCCAAGUAGCGUGAAGGAUGACUGCCCUAUGGGUUGUAAACUUCUUUUAUAAAGGAAUAAAACGAGGCACGUGUGCCUUUUUGCAUGUACUUUAUGAAUAAGGUUCGGCUAACUCCGUGCCAGCAGCCGCGGUAAUACGGAGACUCCGACCGUUAUCCGGAUUUAUUGGGUGGAAGGGGGGCGUAGAUGGGGUGGUAAGCCAGUUGUGAAAGUUUGCGGACCAACCGUAAAAUUGCAAUUGAUACUGGCAGUCGUGAGUACAGGUGAGGGAGGCGGAAUUCGUGGUGUAGCAGUGAAAUGCGUAGAUAUCGCGAAGAACCCUAGUGGCGAAGGCGGGUUGCUGGACUGUAACUGACGCUGAGGUUCGAAGGCCAGGGUAGCAAACAGGAUUAGAUACCCGAGUAGUC
rnacentral:rRNA from 1 species